rnacentral:rRNA from 1 species
UCGGAGGGUGGACAGCGGCGAAAGGGAAAGUACGCGUGGAUCCAACCCCCAGGAACGGGAUAGCCGCGGGAGGAGCGCGGGUAUACCGGAUAAUGUCUCCGGACCAAAGGUGUGAUUCCGCCUGGGGACGGGUCCGCGUCCUAUUAGCUUGUUGGUGAGGGUACGGCUCACCAAGGCGACGAUGGGUACCGGGUGUGAGAGCAUGGCCCGGCCCACUGGGACUGAGACACUGCCCAGACACCUACGGGUGGCUGCAGUCGAGAAUCUUCGGCAAUGGACGCAAGUCCGACCGAGCGACGCCGCGUGCGGGAUGAAGGCCUUCGGGUUGUAAACCGCUGUCAGAGGGGAGGAAAUCCUGUGGGGUUCUCUCCACAGGUUGACCUAUCCUCAGAGGAAGUACGGGCUAAGUUCGUGCCAGCAGCCGCGGUAAGACGAACCGUACAAACGUUAUUCGGAAUCACUGGGCUUAAAGGGUGCGUAGGCGGCCCUGCAAGUUGGGUGUGAAAGCCCUCGGCUCAACCGAGGAAUUGCGCCCAAAACUGCGGGGCUUGAGGGAGACAGAGGUGAGCGGAACUUAGGGUGGAGCGGUGAAAUGCGUUGAUAUCCUGAGGAACACCUGUAGCGAAGGCGGCUCACUGGGUCUCUUCUGACGCUGAGGCACGAAAGCUAGGGGAGCGGACGGGAUUAGAUACCCCGGUAGUCCUAGCUGUAAACGUUGAGCACUUGGUCGGAGAGUCCUCCAUAGCUUUCCGGUCGCAGCGAAAGUGAUAAGUGCUCCGCCUGGGGAGUAUGGUCGCA